GCAAGUCGAGCGGCCCUUCGGGGCAGCGGCAGACGUCUGAGUAACACGUUGGUAUCUGCCCCACACUCGGGGAUAACCCACCGAAAGGUGGGCUAAUACCCGAUAGUCUCUACGGAGUAAAGAUUUAUCGGUGUGGGAGGAACCUGCGGCCUAUCAGCUUGUUGGUGGGGUAACGGCCUACCAAGGCAAUGACGGGUAGCUGAUGUGAGAGCAUGAUC
rnacentral:rRNA from 1 species